ACUACAUCCGAACUGUAUGGCCUGAUAUUCUACGCUUUGCUCUUCCGAAAAUUUUAUCUUGGAGCGAAACAAUUGGUUGAAACCGGUUGUGUACGCAUUCGGCAUAUCUUGGUUGGAUGUGUUAUUUUACAGCAAGAGGAGAAUAAUUGGCAAACAAGUCAAUUGGAACAAGAACAGAUACAGCUUAUGCACAGAACGUUUUCUCAUCAUGCACUACGUAUAAUGAGCUGUAUACAUGAUGUUGACAAUGGGAAUUCAAUGAAAAAAAGUCGAGAUGAUGGAAGAUUUAUAGAAUAUCUCCUUGGAGAUCCUGUUAUCCAUUCUGGUCGGCUUCUAUUGAAUCAUGGGUAUCUAAAAGAUGCUAUCAAAACAGAAAACAAAACAUUUUUGGAUAAUGAAGUUGUAAAAGAUGUUUUAAAUGGAAUGUGGUACGG